AGAUUGAUGAGAGCAAAAUUACCGAAAAUACAGCAUGUUGAAUAUUUCUACAGUUGACACGCUUUGCAGCAGCUUCACACCAGUAAGCUCGAGCGUAGUGAGAAACGUUCAACAGCUCCUCUUCUCUUUUGUACACAUGAAAAAUGAAUGAAUGGGAAAAGAAAAGUGUUUUUGAAGUGUAUAAAAAUAUUGAAUUCCUGCUGACAGCUUUCAGCUUACAAAGCCAUCUUUAGAGCUAUAGUCAAAAACCAUAAAGUACUAAAGAAGUA